rnacentral:rRNA from 1 species
GACGAACGCUGGCGGCGUGCCUAAUACAUGCAAGUCGAACGCAGUGGGGACGGGUGAGUAACACGUGGGUCACCUCCCCAUCAGAGGGGAUAACACUUGGAAACAGGUGCUAAACCGAUACUGAUGGAUGGACCCGCGUUGCAUUAGCUAGUGGGUGAGGUAACGGCUCACCAAGGCCACGAUGCAUAGGCGACGUGAGAGGGUGAUCAGGCACACUGGGACGGAGACACGGCCCAGACUCCGACGGGAGGCAGCAGUAGGGAAUCUUAGACAAGUGACGAAAGUCUGACCGGACAACGCCGCGUGAGUGAAGAAGGGAUUGGGAUAGUAAAACUCUGUUGUUAGAGAAGCGGUAUCUAACGAAUAAGCCACGGCUAACUACGUGCCAGCAGCCGCGGUAAUAC